rnacentral:rRNA from 1 species
CCUACGGGUGGCGGCAGUGAGGAAUAUUGGUCAAUGGUCGGGAGACUGAACCAGCCAAGCCGCGUGAGGGAUGAAGGUACAGAGUAUCGUAAACCUCUUUUGUAAGGGCACAAAGGCGGGGCCGUGUCCACGGAUGAGUGUACCUGAAGAAACAGAAUCGGCUAACUCCGUGACAGCAGCCGAGGUAAUACGGAGGAGGCGAGCGUUAUCCGGAUUUAUUGGGUUAAAGGGUGCGCUGGUGGUCUUUUAAGUCAUCGGUCAAAGCCCGGGGCCCAACCCCGGCCCGCCGUUGAAACUGGCAGUCUCGAGUUGGUGAGAAGUAUGCGGAAUGCGCGGUGUAGCGGUGAAAUGCAUAGAUAUCGCGCAGAACUCCGAUUGCGAAGGCAGCAUGCCGGCUCCACACUGACGCUGAGGCACGAAAGCGUGGGUAUCGAACAGGAUUAGAUACCCCUGUAGU